UGCUGCAGCCUAGUGGUUAAAAUGUGUGAUUGCAACUCACAAUGCUUAGGGUUCAAGUCCUAGUGCAGCAC